CGGGCGCGACGGCUUGGCAAGCGGCCGUUCGCCCCCUGGGCGGGCAAGACGCUCCGCCGCGAGGCGUCGCGGUUCCUGGACGCCGCGCCCGGC
rnacentral:tRNA from 1 species